rnacentral:rRNA from 1 species
AGCAGCCGCGGUAAUUCCAGCUCCAAUAGCGUAUAUUAAAGUUGUUGCAGUUAAAAAGCUCGUAGUUGAAUUUCGGGAUCAGUACGCUGGUCGUGCCUUGGUAUGUACUGGUGUUACUGGUUCCUACCUUCUGACGAACCGUCAUGUCAUUAAUUUGGUGUGGCGGGGAAUCAGGACUGUUACUUUGAAAAAAUUAGAGUGUUUAAAGCAGGCUCGCGCUUGAAUACACUAGCAUGGAAUAAUGAAAUAGGACGUUCGAUCCUAUUUUGUUGGUUUCUAGGAUUGACGUAAUGAUUAAUAGGGAUAGUUGGGGGCAUUAGUAUUCAAUUGUCAGAGGUGAAAUUCUUGGAUUUAUUGAAGACUAACUACUGCGAAAGCAUUUGCCAAGGAUGUUUUCAUUAAUCAAGAACGAAAGUUAGGGGAUCGAAGACGAUCAGAUACCGUCGUAGUCUUAACCAUAAACUAUGCCGACUAGGGAUCGGAUGAUGUUAAUUUUUUAAUGACUCAUUCGGCGCCUUACG